AACGAUAGAACGGAAAUUUAGAUACAACUCGGCGACAACGUUGAAACGCAAGAUACGAUUCGCGAGAAGUAGACGUAGGCAAGAAACUACUUGAAAAUUUCAGCGAUUCUAUGGACCGACGCGAUGGAUAUUUGUACGGAAACGCGAUACGAAUAGAAGAUAAGAAACAUCAGGUUGAUAAAUAUCGGAGCAGCGUUUUACACGUUUCUCGAAACGUUUGGAUAAUUCUCUCGAGUCGUAACGAGUUGAUCGACGUGAUUUAGGAGCUAGUCGAGAGUACGAAGCAGCCGGUGGUGGCCUACGUCCUACGCUAUCGGCCAGCCAUUCCACCGAUAUGGAUUCGAAUUUGCUGGCCAUCGACCAUCGAGGCAAAAUCGAUUCGCUAUACGCUGUGCAAGUGCAUAAACAAGUUUUCGACGUAUGCCAGUCCGUAGUUAUAAUACCAUCGAGGAUACGUCCUUCGCGAGUUUGACUCGUGCACUCUUUUCGUCCGCGAACCGGUUCAAACGCACUAUCUCUCGCCGUAUCGCCGGAUAAUUAAUCCACUGGAACUAUAGCGCGAUAAUAUCCGAUAACAGAAGUUUCGUUUUCCUACGUCUAUCUUCUCGCAUCUAUUCGACGGUUCGCAUUAUCGCGAAUCUAGCCUCUAACGAGCUUUUGACCGUUCGUUCUUAACGGCUAAAUAAAGUUAUCGCGAGCUUGGAAACGCUCGUCGAGGAAACGAAGUUUACGCGCGUAACGAACAACGGAAUAACGACGAUCGUCGACAGUCAGCUUUCGAAACUCCGACUCGUUCGAAUCAACGAGUUUAACGAAUAGCGUAGUAUGGUGGACGAGCGACGUUGGGCGAAUUAUAAAGAAGCGGUUGCGGAAAAUGUGCGUGGUGGGGCUAAGACAAAAGACGCGAGACUGAGGCAAAAGACGAGAGGUUGCUAAGGGACAAAAACGAAUUAACAGUCAUUGCGAGUGGAGAAGUCGGAGAGUGCGAAUUACGUUGUCGAGAGAGUUGCUAAUUAACUAUCCGGUUAUCUUAAUCGCAAUACGUUAUUGCGAUUAGUUCGUUUCCUGUCUAAUCAACGUCUGUUUGAUCCAUUUAUCGCGAAUAAACUAAUUGUGGUAAAGAUUCUACGAUGCAAUUAUUAACUUUAUUUUUCAAUUUAUCGAGUCGAUCGGCGUGCGUAUGACGUUCGACUUUUCUAAAAUAUUACAUCGUAUUUGCGCGCUUUUCUCCGACAAUGUCAUUCGCGCGAGUCGUUAGUCAUUCUCUGUUCCAUGAAGUUUAUCUUACCUUAAUCGAUGGAAAAAGCUUAACAACGCGAAACACCGUGAAUGAGCAUCGUGCCAGUCGACGCGUUGAUUCACGUUCGCGUGAACGUCGUUCUCGCGAUUGUCGUCGAUAGAGAAACGCGAAAAUGCUGUUACGAUGAUGCGUUGCUGUCUCGUGCGUCCAAGCCAGUUGGAUAUCGUGGAGGCGUAUAUUAUAUACCGCAUAGGUUAAGCCACCCCGCCUACUUGCGCGUCGUGUCCCAAUACCUGGCAGCAAUAUGUCAACAGCUACUUUCCACUCCGCUGGAGUAUCCUGGCACCGAGCUUUAUCCGCGACGCUCGUGGAUCGACAUUAUGCCGGCUACUCGGCCAUGGCGACAGCCCAUGAGCAUACAACGGCAUACAACACGCUUGACAAGCUGCCAUUUUAACGCGCGAUCGCCGAUUACGCAGGUUUAAUACCCGCGCGAACAGAAAAGGGAAAAAUCAUUGCCGCCUCCAGCGCGUCCAUUUAUUAUACUUCCUUGACACUUUGACGAUGUCAUUGGUGACCCGAACGCUUCAACUUGUUACAAUUGUACAAAUUGUAUGAAAAUUGACAGUUAGGGCAUUUUGAAUAUAACCGAUAAAUGGAAGAUACUUUGAAACGAAAAGUACCCCAUCGAACGAUUAAACGUUUUUAUUGGAACAUCGAUAAAAAAGAAUGAGAAGAAAUCUUGCAUCUAACGGUGCACCGUGUUAAAACACUUGAAACGUAAAUGUGGCUCGUCGAUACAAUCUGGACGAUAGGUGGUCACCUUUUUCGUCCGAUUCUUAGCAAUUUUUCGUCCCAGCUGUUUAACAUUCUUUUUAUACCACGCUCUGCGAAAUUUUCCUGCCAGAUACGCUUGCCCUUCUUUCUUCCGCGUUUCGCGUCGCGAUCUUUGUCGAAUAAGUAUAUUUCACGGCUCUGGCGAAUUGCACCGUGUAAGGUGCAUAGCGAGUGCCAUUCUAAAAACCGAUACCUUGAUUUUUGUUUUUGUCGCUCGUUUAUGGAGUAUCUAUCGUCGCGUUUGAAAUUGACGUAUUUGACGAUAACUCAGAAGCUAAUUUUAUAUACCACUCGAGAGUUCUUCUAUGUGGUGUAGAACACGCUAUCGUUCGAUCUGAUAAAUCUACGGCACAUGUUCCUCUGUUGUGAUCCACCACUAUCAUUGGUUUAUCGCAAACAUAAUUUUUUUUACCUCUACCAUUUCAGCCGAAUGUUCCGUCGAAAUCAUAAAAAUAAUCCUAAUAGCGUUUGCUAACAUCUUCUACGUGUUUCGACUGUAUAUUCUGCGCGUUUUGCAUACGACGAAAUAUCGAGUGCGAAUAGAUUGUCGAAAUAAACGAAGCCUCGUUACGAUAUGUCGCUAUCGAUUGUUACCAAGGCGCCACGGUGGUCAACCGUGUCCACCAAUAAGAUAAACGGUCCAUCGAGGAAGAACGUUGUCUUACAUCUUCGAUUUAUUAUUAUUUUUAUAUGCUUCGAAUAAUAAAAAUACUCUCGUGGCGUCUUCGGCGAAACGAGUGAUUUCGGCGUGGCAGUCAAAGUGUUAACGCGUAUCUACAACGAUCAAAUAUUUAUCAAAUCGUCGGCGAGGUAUCCAUCGUUUUGUAUCCUUCGUUUCGUUUAUCAUCGAUGACGUGAAGGGGACGAGCCUGUUUCUUUACGAGAGACGAUAAACGUUAACGCGUCGACGCGAUAGGUCGAAGCAUAUCCCAUAACGUUCGAGUUUAUACUUUUUCGACCGUGUCGUCUAAAUAGUUUCUUUUUUGAUUUGGAAGAAUUUUACGAUCGAUUCUCAUUGAGAAUUACAAGUAAAUUUUUCUUAAGAUAAACGGUCCAUUGGCGAAGAACGUUGACUUACAUCGUCGAUUUAUUAUUAUUUUUAUAUGCUUCGAAUAAUAAAAAUACUCCAGUGGCGUUCUCGGCGAAACGUGUGAUUUCGGCGUGACGGUCAAAGUGUCGAAAGAACGAGUUCCCUUCAAACCGUUCCUUCUCGCGUCAAAUCUCGAUCGGAGAAUUCUUCCCUGUCCUGCCUGAACGACUCAAUUAAGACCCGUGAACUUUUACCUGCUCCCUUUGACAAUCCACCUACGAAACGAACCGAAAUCGAUCGAGCGGAAAGAACGUCGCGAGAACGAGAUGUUACGUAAGACGGUCUCCUUUUACCAACCUGGUAAAACGGUGACACACGGCGGCAAGCCGAUAAUUCCGGCCGAUUAAGAUGCACCAUGCGGAGACGUGCUCGCACAAUUCACGUAAUUCGCGCAAUUAACCCCUUAGAGCCGCAUUCCCGGCCGUUCGUCGGCAUCCGGUACGUCGUUCGUUCAUCGUUGUUUCGUCGAGGAACGGGUUCAUGAAUGAACCCGGCCGUGGUUCGGCAAAAAGUCUGCUUCCCCCUUUCUUCCCUACGUCCCUCUUCUCCUUCUUCGUCGCUCCGUUUCUCUCUUCACCGUGGAGCGACUGGCAGAGCGUAGAAACUGGUAUCGGCACAAUGCCGUCGGAAUACGCUAUUGGGCCGCCUCUAUUCGUUCGGCCGCUAUUUCAACCUGCGCCCGCGGCCCAAGACAAGAAACAGACGCCACCGGAAAUCAUCAUUCUCCCCGGGUAGGUUUAAUCGAAGGGAAAACCGGAAUACGCCGCAGCUUGACUGACAACAGGAGCAACCUGUCCGUGGUCGUUCGACCAGGAUUCCGCGUGGAUGAUUUUUCUUCACCGCAGCGAUCCUCUUUUCUCCGACGGACGCUUUUCAUCUUCUUCUUCUUCUCCUUCUUCUCGUCUUCCUCGUCUAUUCCUUUCCCGACGCGGAUUAAUUAGUCGCGUCGUUGCCGUAAACGAGCGUUCUUUCGACGAGCCUGAAACGCGACGCUGCGUCGCGCCGCCUCGUAACAUCGAACAUUUUCCAAUCCUGUUACUUUGUAAUACGUAAUUAUACGACGACUCGCGCGUUUAGUAUAGUUUUCGAAACCACGUUCGUACGUAUAUCCUGAUCCGAUUCGCGUGGCGAACGUACGACGAUAUCGCGCGCCUCUAAGUUUCGUGAGAUCGCGACGCGACGAUAUGGUAGCCGGCAGGCACACCAGCUGGUCCAACUUUUUGUCCAGGGUCGACAGCUGCGACGAAAACGAAAAAUCCGAAUUGGAAUCAACGAGAGCAAGAAACCUCGACCCCUUCGACCAUCGAAGGGGAUGUGCGUGGCUACGGGAUCGUUCGUGGGCCAAACGCGUUUGUCGCGAUAGCAGAACGGUCACCGUCGAAUAGAUCCGUAGCUGUUCCGCGUUCCCAAUCGCGUGGAUACGAUAAUCGCGCUAUCAAAAAAUUCAGGGUCUUUCGUUUAAUUCCGUUACCUCUAGUCGCAUCGACUAAACGGUAUCGUGUUACGAAUCGUCGUUACGUUUCCACCAACUUUCUUCUCUCUGGAAUGCAUUUCUUUCGCAUUUUCGACUAAUAUCGCGUCUAUCGAAAUCGCCGGCCAAUCGUAGCUUUUCGAUCGAGUUCGCUUGGUUCCGUUUCGUCGAAGGAGCGUAACCGUUUGGCAUGUAUUGGGUUGGCAACUAAGUGACUGCGGAUAUAUCGAUACCAUCUAUUGACAAAAUCCGCAAUCACUUAGUUGCUAACCUAAAAAAAGAGAAAGGCACGAGUUUAUCUUGCAUUUAACUUUUAUUAUAUAAUAUUAUGCCGUAUUUCAGUUACAUAAUUUUAAGUAUUCGAUACCCUAUUCGUCAUAUAGGCAUACACGUACCUAAGAACAUGUUCGGCACAUAUACACCUAUAUAUGAUGCACACACGUGGCGCAUACCGCUGCGUGUUUAAUAAUCGACUUUAUUAUCAAUAUACAAAUAAUGGAAGACAUAGCAGCACCUAGAAGUGCUGUUCAAAAGACGACCUCUUACCUAAAACAUUCGUAAAUUUUAUUGUUCUUUUUUCCGCGAGACUGUUGUAAACCCCCUCUCGAUAGCUUCAUCCUGUAAUUCACGCUGUUGCCGCUGCAAACGAAGCGCGAUAUACUUCUAGCCGCAGAUUUGUAAACAACGUACUAAAUCAUCGUAGGUAACCAAACUGCGAGAUACGUAAUGAUAGAGUAUUGUAAUCUUUUCUUUUCUUUCUCUCUCAAUUCGAUUUAAUUCACCUUUUUUUAUUUCGCAUUUCACGUUUCGUUAGGCUAUUACACGACGGAUACGUCGUACGUUCAAUUUUUCCGACACACCGUGAUCUUGUUCGGACACGUGUAUACGUACUUGCGCGCGGUAAAGAGACGUUACGUACACAAAUACGCGCAGCAUGGUACACGGACGAAUUCUCUUUUCCGUUCGCGUCUUCGUGCCAGUGUGGAAUCGCGCAAGUACAUAGACAAGUAUCUGGCCAGACGUACAUUGUCGUCAAAUUACCGACAACGCGUAAGUAUCGUUUAAUGUCUUCGUACAUUUGAAAUUGAUAGUUCCUCGUAAAUAUGUUACAUUUUAUGUUGCCUUAUUU